UCAGCCUGCUAACUAGCUACGUGG
rnacentral:siRNA from 1 species